AUGUGGAUGACGCUUUAUUGAAAUAAGGGAAUAUCAACUUUAGUCUUUAGCCGUAAAUUUCUAUUUCCAAAUAUAGUCCUUAGAUGUUUUAGAAUCUGAAAAAAAUGCAGAAAAUUAUGUUACCACAGCAGCCGUCAAGGUUUCGUCUGCAGCCAUGACGAUAGCACCAAACAGCAUGGCGUCGAACGUUCCCAAUGCCCACUCUUCUCCCCACCUGUAAGGAUAAAUUGUGAUCUUCUUCUUUUCGUGUGGUUGGCAAAUCAACGCUCCAUUGGGUGCUACCUAAAUAUAUUCUUGAUAGAAUCGAGCCACUUCGAUGGCUUCAUCAUCAAGUCAGCCAGAGUACAGGUAUUUGGACACUCGGGACAGGCGAGGAGAUGAGCCAUCGAUUGUGGGGAGAAGCAAAACAUGUUGUGUAUCACCAGACGUCGUGAUAUUUCCGUAUAAGGAAUCCAUACUAUCCUCUGUAUCUCUCGCUCACCUGAGCAAAUUAUAGCAGCUUCCUAGACGUAAAGAUGCACAGUGGUAGACAUAAAGAUGCCUAUGACGUCAACUAGGUUUCGACAACCAAGGAGUUGGCAAACUAUUUGAAUCCACACUUAUAAGUGUUAAAGAAUUUCACGUAAAAUAGGAGCAAUGGAUUGAGACUAUACAUUUUUGUUCUGGAGAGUUAGAGCCAACUUAACUGUACAUAUUGAUGAGGCAGGCAGGCCUUAGAAUGAAUACUCUACAGCAUACCAGGUAACAGCAAAGCAGGACGCAGCAUUAUCAUCUGGGUCGUACAGCAAGCAGCUAGUGCUUCCCGACUCACGCGCAUUCAUCUCCACGUCCAGUAAUCGUUCUAGCACCGACCGCUCGCUAGCCACCCAGUUCAGACCAUCAAGGGCCUAAAAUAUGAGAAGAAUCUGAGAAGUCUAAAGGCCUAUCACGAAACAUACAAACUCGUAACACGUUUCUAACGUCCACAUCUUUUUUUACCGCAUCGUGUAACAUAAGAGAGAAAGUGUUGUGAGUCCAGUAGCUUAGUUUUAAAAAAAUCAAAUGAAUCUUUUAAAAGUUUAUUUUUCUUCAAAUAAGACACAUAGUAAAUAUAUACCUAGAGGAAUCGUUACUUAUUGUACAAGAUACCUAAUUAACCUGUAUUGUAAGAGAAUGGUGUUUGAAAUUAAAAAAUCUGUAAUACAGAACAUCACGUAUACCUACUACGGGCUAAACGUCUAAAAUUACAAUUUACACUUCAUUGAUAAGUUGGCUACAGUUGAGCUAUAACAUAUCUAUAAAUAAAUAGGUUACAUACCUAAUAAUACGGUAUUAUGUCUCUUUAUCUUAGGUAUUAGACAGAGCCAAGAGUUUUCGAUUUUGGUUGUGGAAUUGAGAAACCUAUAAAAAGAAGACUUACCCUUUCAAAAAACGCAGCCAAAAAUUGUGUUAAAAGAGAAUGAGCUGGUUCAUUUACGCCAAGCGUUAUCGCUGGAAACGAAUUUAAUUAAUUAUCAAAUUUAUUUAUUGGUCAAAUAAAUUAAUAAUUAAUCAACAUAAAUAUACGGACCUGCUUCUGGACCCGAUAGUUGCUUGUAUACUGCCCUGUAAUCAAUUAAUAAAAUGUAAUGUUCAAUAAAUAAGGAUGAUUGGCAUCAAAAGCAUUCGCAAAGAAGACUUAAUUGAGACUGACUUGAGUAGAGAGGGUUAACAUCAGGCAAACGGCCGGUCGGAAAAACAGAGUCGAAUCUUACUCUUUAGGAUACAAUAAGCGUUGAUGACAGAGAGUACUUAAUUCGGUAAACAAAGAGUAGUUAACUAGGUACAAAGGUACUACCUACCUUAAUUGUGGGGCAACAACCACUCGACAUGUAGCAAGGGGGCCUGUCAUAGCCCUCAUUUCUUUGGACUCCUCGUUCCUAAAAAUAAACCGAUUUCUUUGUAACUAAAAUUUAAAAGCUUAUGUAUUAAAAAUAAAUUGCCAUUAAUGUUUUA